rnacentral:rRNA from 1 species
CUCCAGACUCCUACGGGAGGCAGCAGUGAGGAAUAUUGGUCGAUGGGCGGAAGCCUGAACCAGCCAAGUCGCGUGAGGGAAGAAGGCCCUGCGGGUCGCAGACCUCUUUGGACGGGGAGCAAGGCCGCCGACGUGUCGGCGGAAGGAGAGUACCCGUAGAACAAGCAUCGGCUAACUCCGUGCCAGCAGCCGCGGUAAUACGGAGGAUGCGAGCGUUAUCCGGAUUUAUUGGGUUUAAAGGGUGCGUAGGCGGAAGGUUAAGUCAGCGGUAAAAUGUCGGUGCUCAACACCGGCCUGCCGUUGAAACUGGUCUUCUUGAGUGAGCGAGAAGUAUGCGGAAUGCGUGGUGUAGCGGUGAAAUGCAUAGAUAUCACGCAGAACUCCGAUUGCGAAGGCAGCAUACCGGCGCUCAACUGACGCUGAGGCACGAAAGCGUGGGGAUCGAACAGGAUUAGAUACCCGUGUA